rnacentral:lncRNA from 1 species
UCAUUUGACUUACACAUAGGGUACACACAUAUUGAUUCUUCUAAUGCAUAUGAGUGGAAUUAGGAUUAGCUGCAAAAAGAAGGAAAGAGCAAGGGUAAAGAAAUAGAAUUCAGAAUGAACCAGAGAACUAGGGGUCAAACCUUGUAAAUGAGGACAUGAAAGAGAUUUGGAUAACUAGGGAACAAACAUGUGCAAGAACUAUCUAUCCAACAGAGUAAAAGCAGCAGCACAUGAACUAAUCCAUUAUACGACAGUUUCAGUUGAAGACAAGCCCCUCUUCUCUCUUGAAACAGCAGCAGCUCUGUAAGCUACCACAUUAGUUCAUGACAAAAUCAACUCUGAGUAGACAGAAGCAAGAAUUAAAAUCUAUCAGUUGCAAAAUGAUCAUCAUUUUCAAUUUCCAAAACACGAAAGAAACAAUGCAUAAAAGAUUAUACGUACUUGAUUAAGAAUUUCGGGAGGCUCUAUCUAUGUGAGCAGAAUGACUCUAGUACCAUCCAUUUCAGCAAACCUAACAUAGGAGGAAACAAUGUAGAAUGAAAGAGAAUUCUCUUUUCGUAGUUUAUGAACCUUUAAGUUUCAUGUUUAAAUCAAUUUUGAAGUGUUUGAAUUAGUCAUCUGAUGAUUUAUCCCUUUCUUACACGAAAGCCUUUACUCAAAAUGCAAUCAAAUAAUGAAAUUAGAGAAAAAGGAAGGAGUAUGCAUAAGAAAUCUAAUUCAACCUGAUUCAAACACCUAGAGAACAGAAUUUGGAAAUACCUAAUAUAUUCUUUAAAAAAAAGUACAAUCCAGUAUAAUCCCACUUAGUGAGGUAUGGGGAGGAUAGUAUGUACGCAGACAUUACCCCUACCCUUGGGUAGAGACGCUGUUUCCAAAUAGGCCCCCGGCAUCCUUUCCUCCAAGAACUUCCCACCUUUGUUCUUGAAAGACUCGAACUCACAACCUCUUGAUUGGAAGUGGGUUGCUUACCAUCAGAGCAACCUAAUAUAUUCUCAACGACUGAAAUAAAUUAUAUCAAGUGUAAUAUGACAAAAAGAAUACACAUCAAAUUAAAAAUAACAAUAGAUAGAGAAGAGGAGUUAGAAGAAUACCCAGCAGAAAAUAACAAUGGACGGAAUGAAGGAGUGAUAGAGCAGAGGUAUGAUGAGGAGCUGUUUGCAGGAGCGUUGGAUUUGACAAGAGAUAUCAGACGGUGACUCACGUGUUG